AAGGUCUUUUGAAAAAUCCACUGUCUGAACGAAACGGUCAAACACAAUCAACGGUUCUGAAAGAUUAUAUGAAAGGAGAAUAUUGAAGAAAAUUGGAACGGAGGAGCUGUGGGCAGGCUAUUUGAAGGGCAGGAUGCAGAAUGCUGUCGCAUGUGCUGCCCUGAAAGCCUACCCAAAGGCCACCUACCUAGAGGAGCAGAUGGAGCAAGAUGUUGAGGAGGAGGGCACAGAUGAAGAACCAGCACCUGAAUAAAUUAU